UGUCUGCAGCUGAUAUCCCUGUGUCUGGUUAUGUGGGUUCUACAGCUGUCCUGCCGUGUGAACUGCAGACUGUAGACACUGAAACACCGUAUAUUAGGUGGUUCGUCAAUUCUGAGACUGUGUUUGAGCGAUGGGGUAAGGAGACAUAUCAGGGUGAGGGAUAUGAGGGCCGUGUGGACGUUCCUGAGGAAGAGCUGAGGAAAGGGAACUGUUCCUUGGUGUUAAAACACCUGAAACUUACUGAUACAGCUGACUACAUGAGCUACGAAGUAUUGAGAGACACCAGGAGAUUAAACAGGGUAAAGAGAUCUGAAAUAUCUAAACUAAACCUGAUCAGCAGUGUUCAUCUCUCAGUCAGUGGUGAGUUAUUGUCAGUAGAACACACACUGAUCAUUACACACAUCAGAAAACAAAGGAAUGACUGGAAAAUCUCACUAUUUAACAAAAAAUGUUAGACUCCAUCUAACUUUAAAUCACAAUCAUUUUCAUUACACAAACAUUUAUUUCCCUCAGCUGCAGGAACUGAAAUGAUUUUCUUGCUCAUUUGUACAGUUUAUUUACCUUUUAAUACAAUUUCAGUGCUUUUAAUUAAACACCAUAUUCAUUUGGUUAUUCUUUAUUAACUUACAGAUAUACUGUGUGGGAUAAUUAAGUCUGUUCAAAUCAGUAAUGGAGUAAAAGUUAAAACUGGGAAUUAUAUCAGAGACUUUGACUUACACAUAACACACACUGUAAAUCCAUGAAGUAAGAAGUGCUCAUACAGAGGAUUUCUAAAUGUACCAAGAUAUUAAAAAUGUUUAUUUCUUUUAGAGCUCCCUCCUAAAGAAGACAGAAGUAUUACUCCAGUUCCUUCAGCUGAUACAGGAAUGAAGUGUCCUCACCUACUGGUCAUGGUCUUGUCCUUCAUCUGUUUACUCAUCCAGCUCUUCUGACUAGAAGUUGUGAUGCUCUCCAAUCAUUACCCCAGAUUCAUGUCAGAAUGCAGCAUUUCAGAUGUUCUACAGUACUGUAUGUGUUAGUAUGGUUAAUGUCAGCUGUCAGAAGGUCACACAAAAGGAGCUGACUGAGCUAAAAAUAGUAUUUAAAAGCAUUUUACACUUUAUUGUUCAAAAAAAGGGGAAAUUCUUUUCCACAACACUGAACUUGUUCGACACACAACAUAAACAGUCAUAAUUCACACGUCAAGAAACAUUCAAAAUAACACACAGCGAUGUCUAUUCUUAAGGUACUUAAUGACUGAGGGAAUCAGGCUUCUUCCAAAGCGGGCCCUCCUGCUCCUCAGAGCCCGAACCUGCACCCUGAGGGCAGUGGGGUUAGACACUCAUUUAGCGGAUGUGUGGAAUCUUGUUCUAUUGAAAUGGCAAAGCGUCCGAUAGCUGUGUUAUUGAGUUCUAUAAGGUUAGGUGUUUGAAGACCGAUAACCACUAAACUAACACUUUGUUGUUCCCUUUCGGAAAUCGAGCUGCGUCGAAACGCUAUGGUCACUUUAGUUGUUCCUAAUAAAAUGGUUGGUGAGUGAAUUUUCGAGUCGAUUGUGGUUUUGUGUGCAUGUUCUACAUGCUCAUGAAACCACAGUGUGUUAAAAGUAGCGAGGGUGUUUCCUGUCAUGUGUCAUCUGUGCAAAAUAUUUCCAGUUUACUGCCCACAUUUUGUACCCAUUUUCCCAUAAUAAGUGAUGCAUGUAAAUUAAUUUAAACAAAUCAUCUUCACCCUGCGUUAGAAACAAAGAAAUCAAAUCAAAACAAUUCAAAACAAAAAUGAUUAAAUGUAAUCAAUAAAUGUGAACAGAUUCACUUUGUUCCAGAGUGAAAAUGUUAUUAGUAAUAAAAUAGUAUGGAACUUUGAGUGAAGUUAUCAGCUGAUAGAAUUAUGGUACUUAAUCAUUUGUCCAAAGUAAAGAAAACAUUUCCAGUGUAGGAAUCACAUUAGAUCAGAAUAAACCAGCCUCGAGCCAACAAGUCUACUGAACCCUGAGUCUCAAACAGAACUGCUAGAGAACGGUUGAGUUUGUCAGUUCAGUCAGAUUCUCAGUUACAGAGAAUAACAAGUAACAUUAUUUCUUUUUAUUACUUCUUUUUGGGUCGUCUUUUUUUAUUUUUGUUUAUUUUCAGCCUGAAUAUUUCAGUGGCAUUUUUGGUGUUGAAUGUAAGUCAAACUUACACUGAAAGGGUUCAUCUCACAUUCAGCACAGAUUAUAUUUGUAGUAAUGGAGGAAGCUGCACUGAGAUCAGGGAGAGAGGCAGGGCUGUGUCUGUUAAUAUCCAACAGGUUAAACACCAGUGUACAAUGCUUGUGUUGUUUCAGUGUUUUCUUAAAAAAUAAUAAUAAAGAAAUAGA